UAGCGAAGGGGGCUAGCGUUGCUCGGAAUCACUGGGCGUAAAGGGCGCGUAGGCGGACUCUUAAGUCGGGGGUGAAAGCCCAGGGCUCAACCCUGGAAUUGCCUUCGAUACUGAGAGUCUUGAGUUCGGAAGAGGUUGGUGGAACUGCGAGUGUAGAGGUGAAAUGCGCAGAUAUCAGGAAGAACACCAAUGGCGAAAGCAGCUUUCUGGGACGGUACUGACGCUGAGACGCGAAAGCGUGGGGAGCGAACAGG
rnacentral:rRNA from 1 species